rnacentral:misc_RNA from 1 species
AAAACAUUUCCCCGCGCCCCCCCUCCGGUGUUCCAUCGCCCGCCCAGCCCAUGAAGUCCCUCGCCGCCGUUGCCGUCUCUGAGCUCCCCCAUCUCACCACAGCCCAGAUCGCCACCGCAGGUGCCACCACCGCCGCCACCCUCCUUAUACUCGGUGCCACCGGCCUCAUGUCCUUCUUCUACAGCUUCAUCCCUCUCCCUGUUGUCCGCGGCGUUCAGCUCUCCCAGGGCCUUUCUUUCGCCUUUUCUGCCAUCAAAUACAUUCGAUACAAUCAAGAUUUUAUCGCUUCCAAAUCUACCACUCCUCGGUCUUGGCUUGG